UACGAAGGGGGCUAGCGUUGCUCGGAAUCACUGGGCGUAAAGGGUGCGUAGGCGGGUCUUUAAGUCAGGGGUGAAAUCCUGGAGCUCAACUCCAGAACUGCCUUUGAUACUGAGGAUCUUGAGUUCGGGAGAGGUGAGUGGAUCUGCGAGUGUAGAGGUGAAAUUCGUAGAUAUUCGCAAGAACACCAGUGGCGAAGGCGGCUCACUGGCCCGGUACUGACGCUGAGGUGCGAAAGCGUGGGGAGCAAACAGG
rnacentral:rRNA from 1 species